rnacentral:rRNA from 1 species
AUUGAACGCUGGCGGCAGGCUUAACACAUGCAAGUCGAGCGGGGUGAUGGUGCUUGCACUAUCACUUAGCGGCGGACGGGUGAGUAAUGCUUAGGAAUCUGCCUAUUAGUGGGGGACAACAUCUCGAAAGGGAUGCUAAUACCGCAUACGUCCUACGGGAGAAAGCAGGGGAUCACUUGUGACCUUGCGCUAAUAGAUGAGCCUAAGUCGGAUUAGCUAGUUGGUGGGGUAAAGGCCUACCAAGGCGACGAUCUGUAGCGGGUCUGAGAGGAUGGUCCGCCACACUGGGACUGAGACACGGCCCAGAGUCCUACGGGAGGCAGCAGUGGGGAAUAUUGGACAAUGGGGGGAACCCUGAUCCAGCCAUGCCGCGUGUGUGGAGAAGGCCUUAUGGUUGUAAAGCACUUUAAGCGAGGAGGAGGCUCUUUUGGUUAAUACCCAGAAUGAGUGGACGUUACUCGCAGAAUAAGCACCGGCCAACUCUGUGCCAGCCGCCGCAGUAAAAC